GGGGGAAAAUUAAUAAAUAAAAUUAUAAUAAAAGAAAUUUUAAUAUUAAAAAUAUAUAAUGGGGGUUAAAGUAUUUUUAAUAGAAAAAAUUUUAUAUUUUAUAGUUUAAUAGUAUUGUGAAAGAAAUUUGAAAUAUUAAUGAAAAUAAAAUUAUUAGAAAGUAAAUUUUAUUUAUUGUAUCUUGUGUAUCAGAGUUUAUUAAUAAUUAUUUAUAUUAUAAAAUUCUCGAAUUUAAAAGAGUUAAUUAAUUAAAAAAUUUAUUGUUUUAUAAAUAUUUUAAAUAAUUAAUUAGAAAUGAAAUGUUAAUCGUUUUUAAAUAUAUCUAGUUUUUUUAGAAAAAAAUUUAAUUUUUAAUUAAUUUAAAAAUUUAUUUAAUAAUAAAAUAGAUUUUUAAAUUAAUUUAAUAUUUUGGGGGAUAAGCUUUAAAUUAAAUUUUUAUAAUUUUUAUUUAAAAAUUAAAAAUUUUAUGAUUUAUAUUGUUAAUAAAUUUUAUUUUAUUAUAAAUAAUUUUAAUGAAUUUAAGAUUUAAUUUAAAAUUUAAUUUUUUAUAAAAAAAUAAUUUUAAAUUAUAAAAAAUUAAUUAUAAUGAUAAAAUUAGUAUAUAAAUAAUUAAAAUAAUUAAAAUUAAUAUUUAUGAUAGUUAUUUUAAAGGAACUCGACAAAUAAAAAAAUAUAUAAUAUAUUUAUUUACGUAAUUUUAUAUUUAUGUGAUAGUUAUUUAUGUUAAUUUAUUUAAUUAUAUUCACCUGUUUAUCAAAAACAUGUCUUUUUGAGUAUAAUUUAAAGUCUAAUCUGCCCACUGAUUUUAAAAAUUGAAGGGCUGCAGUAUAUUGACUGUACAAAGGUAGCAUAAUCAUUAGUCUCUUAAUUGGUGACUUGUAUGAAGGAUUGGAUGAAAUAUAAAUUGUCUCUAAAUUAUAUAGUUGAAUUUAAUUUUUUAAUUAAAAAGUUAAAAUAAAUUAAAAAGACGAGAAGACCCUAUAGAGUUUUAUAGUUUAUUUAUUAUAAAUUAUGAAUUUAUUUAACAUAUUUAAGGUAGAUUAAUUAUUUUAUUGGGGUGAUAGAAAAAUUUAUUUAACUUUUUUUAAAAAUAAACAUAAAUAAGUGAAUUAUUGAUCCAUUAUUAAUGAUUAUAAGAAAAAAUUACCUUAGGGAUAACAGCGUAAUUUUUUUUUUUAGUACAAAUAAAAAAAAGAGUUUGCGACCUCGAUGUUGGAUUAAGAUAAAAUUUAGAUGCAAAAGUUUAAAAUUUUGAUCUGUUCGAUCAUUAAAAUCUUACAUGAUCUGAGUUCAAACCGGUGUAAGCCAGGUUGGUUUCUAUCUUUUAAUAUAUUUAAUAUUUUAGUACGAAAGGAUCAAAUAUUAUAAUUAAAUUAAAAAUUUUGAAUAUUAUUAAUUUUUAGUAAAUUUUAU
rnacentral:rRNA from 1 species